UGUUACAGUUGAACGUUCCGUCUUAUCGGGCAACACGCGAUAUCGUUUCCAAAAGUGAUUCCAUCGGUGUCUACGUGCGUUUUAACGUGGGCACCUCCAAACGCUAUACGGAAAAAUUUGCGAGAGAAAAAAAAAAAAAAAGAAAAAGAAAAGAAAAAACAAUAACGAAUUGAAAAUAUAAUUGGCUCGUAUAGUGGACAAGUAGUAUGUCUACGAAACCGCAUAUAUUUUUCUGUUUAUCCAAUUCAAUAGUGACGUGGAUAGAAACUUGAUUCGUGUUCUGCGAAAAUCAAAUGAUACUAUUUUCAUUUUGCACAUUUCACGCGUUUUUAUUUCAAAUGCAUAUUUUAGGAUUUUAAUUAUAUAAACGCACAUUUCGGUACUUUGUCGAACUGGCAAAUAGAUCGUUGUUGUUCCUUGGGAUAUCUAGCCACUGUCGGUGAAAGCCAAUUGUUUGAUACCCAAUGUAGUGUUGAUUUGAAAAUAAAUUGAAAACUCACAUAAUCCUCAUUUAAUCAUACGGUAUGAAGCAUAAUGUAAAACGUCGGACUCUAAUCGAACUACGCGCUACUGGUGGCAGAAAACCAUGUGCUUUUUGCCGUUCCAUUUUUACAACGGGCGGCCAUAAG